rnacentral:rRNA from 1 species
UACGUAGGAAGCAAGCGUUGUUCGGAGUUACUGGGCGUAAAGGGUGCGUAGGCUGCUAUUUAAGUCUGGUGUGAAAUCUCCCGGCUCAACCGGGAGGGUGCGCCGAAUACUGAGUGGCUAGAGUACGGGAGAGGAAAGUGGAAUUCCUGGUGUAGCGGUGAAAUGCGUAGAUAUCAGGAGGAACACCGGUGGUGUAAACGGCUUUCUGGACCGUAACUGACGCUGAGGCACGAAAGCGUGGGUAGCAAACAGG